rnacentral:rRNA from 1 species
AUACGGAGGGUGCAAGCGUUACUCGGAAUCACUGGGCGUAAAGCGCGCGCAGGCGGCUAUUUAAGUUGGAUGUGAAAGCCUACGGCUCAACCGUAGAACUGCAUCCAAAACUAUUUAGCUAGAGUGUGGGAGAGGAAGAUGGAAUUAGUUGUGUAGGGGUAAAAUCCGUAGAGAUAACUAGGAAUACCAAAAGCGAAGGCAAUCUUCUGGAACACUACUGACGCUGAGGCGCGAAAGCGUGGGGAGCAAACAGGAUUAGAAACCCCAGUGUCC